rnacentral:tRNA from 1 species
CUCAGGUAGUUUAAAAAAAAUGUUGGCUUGUGGCGCCUAUGAUGUAAUUGUUAUCUUGAGUA